GAUGAACGCUGGCGGCGUGCCUAAUACAUGCCAGUCGAGCGAACAGACGAGGAGCUUGCUCCUCUGACGUUAGCGGCGGACGGGUGAGUAACACGUGGAUAACCUACCUAUAAGACUGGGAUAACUUCGGGAAACCGGAGCUAAUACCGGAUGAUAUAUUGAACCGCAUGGUUCAAUAGUGAAAGACGGUUUUGCUGUCACUUAUAGAUGGAUCCGCGCCGCAUUAGCUAGUUGGUAAGGUAACGGCUUACCAAGGCAACGAUGCGUAGCCGACCUGAGAGGGUGAUCGGCCACACUGGAACUGAGACACGGUCCAGACUCCUACGGGAGGCAGCAGUAGGGAAUCUUCCGCAAUGGGCGAAAGCCUGACGGAGCAACGCCGCGUGAGUGAUGAAGGUCUUCGGAUCGUAAAACUCUGUUAUUAGGGAAGAACAAAUGUGUAAGUAACUAUGCACGUCUUGACGGUACCUAAUCAGAAAGCCACGGCUAACUACGUG
rnacentral:rRNA from 1 species